rnacentral:rRNA from 1 species
GAUGAACGCUGGCGGCGUGCCUAAUACAUGCAAGUCGAGCGAACAGACGAGGAGCUUGCUCCUCUGACGUUAGCGGCGGACGGGUGAGUAACACGUGGAUAACCUACCUAUAAGACUGGGAUAACUUCGGGAAACCGGAGCUAAUACCGGAUAAUAUAUUGAACCGCAUGGUUCAAUAGUGAAAGACGGUUUUGCUGUCACUUAUAGAUGGAUCCGCGCCGCAUUAGCUAGUUGGUAAGGUAACGGCUUACCAAGGCAACGAUGCGUAGCCGACCUGAGAGGGUGAUCGGCCACACGAGAACUGAGACACGGACCAGACUCCUACGGGAGGCAGCAGUAGGGAAUCUUCCGCAAUGGGCGAAAUCUUGAAGGAGCAACGCCGCGUGAGUGAUGAAGGUCUUCGGAUCGUAAAACUCUGUUAUUAGGGAAGAACAAUUGUGUAGGUAACUAUGCACGUCUUGACGGUGCCUAAUCAGAGAGCCACAACUAACUACGUG